rfam:Schistosoma rodhaini strain Burundi genome assembly, scaffold: SROB_scaffold0000719
AUCCAGCUGAUGAGUCCCGAAUAGGACGAGACGCGCAUCUUGGAU